AGAGGCCAGCUCAACCCAGCCCAAGUGUCACCUGAGUCAGCUUUUUUAAGGGUUUUGUUCGUUGUUAUAGGACCCAGUACAAAGCGUUGCAAGCGUUGCGACGACGCUCUGGCAUGCGAAGGAAUGGCAUGAGCUGCAUGACGUCGGGAUUUUGAACACGACCCAUCACAAAUUAACCGUGGAAGAUCAUGUAGCGAAAUAAAAGCCACAGGUUUGCCAUCGCAGGUGUGGCCAGGCUUUCAAAACGCGCAGGAGCAGGUGCAUCAGAGUGGGUGGAGCGAAAGAGAGCGAAAGAGCCAGCGAGUGAGUGAGUGAGCAAGCGAGAUAGCGAAGAGCAUGACGGGAUUCAAGUCCUUGUUUUGUAGUCGUUGUAGCUUGGUGUGAGUCUGUGCUUCAUGGAUUUUAAUACCACGAUGAGUCAUCCGUUCGCUUGCUGGAUGGGGGGAAUGAUACUUCAUCGCGAGAGUGGUGUCAGAAUCGAUCUCUUCCAUACAUUGGUGGCACCUGAAAUCAUUUUCCCAACAAUUCCCUCUUGAAGUCGGUCCACACAUUUUUGGACUCCUUCUCUUUGACAAUUUCAAUGCUGCCAUGGUCGGUUUUCCCUCAAUCACUCACUGCAUGUAUAGAGGAUGCAGCCAACUUGCAAAACGCCGCUAAACGACGACGGAAACGGUUUAUAUCCUCUGUGAAAUUUCGUAGGAAGCGAGCGGAGGAUCAAGCUUCAGGAAUUUAGGACCACACCCACGCGUUUGACGAUUCCUUCUUUCGCACCCUGUGGAAAGCUGCUCCGAUGUGGUCAGAGCGGCAAAUUGCAAUCCAGGGUGGCAUGAAAUUGACGGAAUGGGGAUGGUGAUCCGUCGCACCUUAAGCGAUCACCGCGCAGCUCCUGCUUCGUGUGCGGUUGUGUGGGUGUUGCCGAAUCGACCGAACUCAUGCAAAACCAUAUCCCCUCACAAAAUUUUAGGCCUCAUUGUUAUGAGCAUUGCAAUCUCGUCACCGGGUCGGUAAUUCUCACUUGUCGGUGAGUUGGUUGUAUUGGCAAAUUCAUGGAGGAAUGAAAGACUAGGAUGCGUGUGUGAAGAGUGCAUGUAUAGUCUACACUCUUUGAUAUUACAAGUAUAAGAUUGAAGAUAUAUAGAUACAUAUGUAGAUGUAUUAGACAGUGAGGGAGCUUUAAUCAUGCAUAGUUGUAACAAUGAAUGGACUAAACAAUGUAUUAUAAUCAAAUGGCUAUUUCAGUUUUAUUUUCA